GAAAUCAGUUCAGCACUAAGUCACUUUGUCUAUAUGGCAAAUGUGAGAUGCAGUGUAUGGAACAUCAAUAUUCUAGUAUGAGAAAUUAACGAUUUAAGUCCUUCUUAAAUGAGGCCAUUUACCCAUAGAGGGUGCCAGGCCCGUAUAACGUUAAUGAUUAUUAGAUGGUGUUUCCAAAGAGUCGUGUUGCUUGAUAGUGCAGCACUAAGUGGGUGGUAAACUCCAUCUAAAACUAAAUAUAACCAUGAGACCGAUAGUAAACAAGUACCGUGAGGGAAAGUUGAAAAGAACUCUGAAUAGAGAGUUAAAUAGUACGUGAAACUGCUUAGAGGUUAAGCCCGAUGAACCUGAAUAUCCGUUAUGGAAAAUUCAUCAUUAGACUUGUAAUAUUUAAACAAUAUUAUAAAAAUAGUGUGCAUUUUUUCCAUAUAAGGACAUUGUAAUCUAUUAGUUAAAAGUAAUUUAUCAAAAAAUUUUAGAUAAAUGUUUAUUUAAAUUAAGGUGCUUGCAUUUUAACACAAAAUAAAUGUCUUUAAUUUGAUAAAGUGCUGAUAGAUUUAUAUGAAUACAGUGCGUUAAUUUUUCGGAAUUAUAUAAUGGCAUGAUUAUCAUUGAUUUUUGUGUUUAUUAUAUGCACUUGUAUGAUUAACAAUGCGAAAG
rnacentral:rRNA from 1 species